UGCACUGUGUGGUAUCUGCAUACAGCAGUUUAUUCCUGCUGGGUGUUCAAAGGACAGUGCCAAAUAAAUUCAGUAUCUGGCAUCGUUGGUUUUCUUGGCUUUGUGCAUGUAAAACCUGGUAUUUUUAUUGAUACAGUA